UUGGAGGGCAAGUCUGGUGCCAGCAGCCGCGGUAAUUCCAGCUCCAAUAGCGUAUAUUAAAGUUGUUGCAGUUAAAAAGCUCGUAGUUGAAUUUCGGGAUCAAUUGGUCGGUCGUGCCUCGGUACGUACUGGUCAAAUUGAUUCCUACCUUCUGACGAACCACGAUGUCAUUAAUUUGGUGUCGCGGGGAAUCAGGACUGUUACUUUGAAAAAAUUAGAGUGUUUAAAGCAGGCUCUCGCUUGAAUACAUUAGCAUGGAAUAAUGAAAUAGGAUGUUUGAUUCUAUUUUGUUGGUUUCUAGGAUCGACGUAAUGAUUAAUAGGGAUAGUUGGGGGCAUUAGUAUUCAAUUGUCAGAGGUGAAAUUCUUGGAUUUAUUGAAGACUAACUACUGCGAAAGCAUUUGCCAAGGAUGUUUUCAUUAAUCAAGAACGAAAGUUAGGGGAUCGAAGACGAUCAGAUACCGUCGUAGUCUUAACCAUAAACUAUGCCGACUAGGGAUCGGAUGAUGUUAAUUUUUUAAUGACUCAUUCGGCGCCUUACGGGAAACA
rnacentral:rRNA from 1 species